UCAUCUCUCUUUGCCGCCAGCCUGGCACCUAUGGAAACAAACAAGGUCUUGUGCAGCCACCUAGUGGUGUCUCUUCACCCCUGCAGUUCCCCAUGACUUCUAAAGGAAAUAUCAGAGGGCACUGGGAGGCACUGAGAUACUUUGAAGACAACCCACUUCUCAAGGCAUCUGGGACCGCCCCCAGAGGUCCCGGGGUGCUGAGCCCAAGAAAGAGAUGGAAGUCAAAGACCAGCACGAUCAGACACACACCUUUCUUCUCAUUCCAUACACCACCCUGCAGUACCACCGUGACUGCUACCAUCCCGCGAGCACCUUGCCUUUGAGGAUUUGACCAGUUUUCAUCCGAGUAGUAAUGUAUCCGAUGUCCACUGGCUCCUUCCUUUACCCACGGACAGUUCUGUGUAAGCCUUUCUCAUCUGCCUACAACGUCUGCCUAUAAAUUAUUAGGUUUCUCCAUUUAAAAUAAACGGAACUUUCCCUCAA